rnacentral:tRNA from 1 species
GGUCCUUUGCAGCUCAGUUGGUAGAGCAUGGUCCUUGUAAGACCAGGGUAGUGGGUUCAAUUCCUGGGACCA